UACUUUUGUAUUUGACCACGUAAGACAAUUGGAUGGGCACCUAAUAUAUUUCCUGGUACACUCCUAUUGUGGUUGGUCUUCUUUAUCUGUAUGUCUAUCUUGUUCAGUCUGCGCUUCAGCUUUGCAGGAAAAUAGAAAUUUUUUUUUCUGUGCUUGUUUAUGCUAACCAUGGUGCCUACAACUGCAUCUGCUGCCUUUACACGGGACUGCAAACCUGUUUUUUUCAACCUUCUGUUUUAUGGGUGUGCACACCCAUAAAUCUCCUGUGGCUGGGUUAAGGGAACAUACAAGCAGCUCUUCAGCAUUAAGAAUGUGAUGGGAGAGAUUCAGGUAGAUUUGAACUGCCAUCAUCAAUCAAGACCAAGGAGAAGGCUGCUUUCCAGGAUGUACACAUGGCCUCUGUUUGCUGUUGCUGUUUUGCUUCUUUUAAGAGGUGAACCAAUAUAUGUAUGUCUGUUUCUACUGUCACUUGCAGCUCAACAGAACCCUGUAAUAUACAUGAACAAGUUUCUGGAAGUUAAGAGUUGAAAAAACAUAUGGGUUGAUUGAUCGUGGCACCCAAGAAGAAAUAUCUAGGUCAUAAUCCCUGGAACCUGUGAAUGUUACUUUAUUUGGAAAAAGUAUCUUUGCAGAUGUAAUUCAUCUAAGGAUCUUGAAAUGAGGAGAUCAUCCUGGAUUACCCAGGUGGGCCCUAAAACCAAUGACUAGUGUUCUUGUAAGAAAAAAGAAGACUGAAACUUAGACAAAACAGGAAAAGACACAGAAAAGAGAUGUGAAGAUAGAAGCAGAAUGGAGAACAGUGUGGCCAUAAGCCAAGGAAUGCCAACCCCCACCAGAAGGUGGAAAAGGCAAAAAAGGGAUUGUCUCUUGCAGCUUCCAGAAGGUGUGGAGUCCUAAUGACACCUUGAUUUUGGACUUUCGGCCUCCAGAACUUUGUGAGAAUAAAUUUUUGUUGUUUUAAGCAACACAUUUUGUGGUGACUUGUUACAGGAGCCACAGAAAACUAGUACACAGUAUGAGCUCAAUAAUAUGACUAUGUGUUCAUCAAAUCCAUGAGAUGACAAAUUCCUUGAGGCAAGGACCACUAAGAUUUUGUUGAUGGUUAUGUUUUACACAGCUAGCUUGAAUGAGGCAGAGUAUCUAGGCACAUGGCUGACCAGAAAAAAUACUGUUUCCCUGUCUCCUUUGAAGCUGGAUGUAGCCCAGGGGCUAUUUUGAGCCAAAAAGAUAAAAGCACAUAUAAAGUGGCAACUACAGGGAUACACAUUCCUAAAGAGGAGGGAGCAGUGUGAUGGAUGAACAGGAGACACCAACUUACUUAGGAAGUGUAUUUGAUUUGGUGCAAGAUGAGUGUAGAUUGAGAGUAGAGGCAAUGCCUAGAGUAACAGUAACAGAAAAGUGUUAUACAACACCUGAAUGCCUACAAAGACUUUCCUAUAAGAGGAGUUAUGCUACUGUUUUCUUCUUAUGUUACAGACAAGGUAGAGUUUUGCCACAACCAAACUUAAUUCUAACUAAUAUACAAGAUAACUGGGCCAGAUGUGUUAUGAGUUUGGUGAAUUUAUAUAAAUUUUUUGACAAGUAUUUUAUAUCAAGUUGCAUUCUUGGAGAAAAUGAGAAGAGGAAUUUACUAGCAAUAUUCAUGAAUUGAAAUAUUUUUGUACUCUGCCUUCCACUCACCUGCACAUCAAGAGAUAAGAAAUGAUCUAUUUAUAUAAAAUGAAUUGAAAUAUAUAUUUUAUUUAUAUUUCUCCACCUUCUGCAUAAAAUAUUUUUAUUGAAGGCUUUUAUGGUGUUCAUUACAAUGCCUAAAAGUCAAGGUAUCAACUCUAAUUUCUCAUUUAUUAUACUACAAUGUAGAUUUUUGUUGAAAAUAACUGUAAUGACAUCAAUGCAUAUCAUUUUGACCCUCGAGAAUUAAAUUUUUUGAUGUUAAUUAUUCAUAAACACACCUUGUCUGAGCUCAUUUGAAAAAUUAAAAAAUGAAAUCAUGUCUCAGCAAUGUACCCAGGGUACCUGCUACCUCUGUAAAACAUUCUGACUCUCUAAAAUUUAAUUAUUGCUUCCUUACUUAUAUCUACAUGCUACCCACUCAAAUAAUAUUUGUUGCAUUGAUUUCUCUCUUUCAAUUAAUCCCUGCAAACAGGUUUCUUCCAGAAAUAUUGGGUGAUUGUGCAUAUUGUUAACUGAAAUAAAUUCUGUAUCCUGCAUUUCACCUUGUUGCCAUUAUGAAAUGUCAACCAAUCACAUUACUGACAGAUGUUGUUUCAUUCUACAUUUCCAUAGAUCUAAUAAUAUCUUUCUUUUUAAUUGUCUCUUCUUGAGACAAUUGUGUCCAGGUGAAUGAUAGGGAUAAGACAACUAAUUGACACCUAUUAGUUUAUGUGGAAAGGCCUGGGGCAUAAGUAAUCAAGCAAAUUUUGCACUUUCUCUUUCAUUUUUCCCCUCACUUAAGACUCAUAAUUAUAUUCUAAUCCUCAAGAUUCAAAUCAGUGAAGAAUUUCUUGAUCUGGUCAAGCAAAAUUAAUCAUCCCUCUUUUUGUUUCAUGACUGAAUGUAACAGUAGCACUCUUUUUAUAAAUUCUACUUUUGUGUGAAAAAUUGAAGAAAAAGUUUUAAUACAUGGUAGUUUCUAAAACCUACUGACAUUCUUGAAAAACUCCA
rnacentral:lncRNA from 1 species